rnacentral:rRNA from 1 species
UCCAGACUCCUACGGGAGGCAGCAGUGGGGGAUAUUGCACAAUGGGGGAAACCCUGAUGCAGCGACGCCGCGUGGGCGAAGAAGUAUUUCGGUAUGUAAAGCCCUAUCAGCAGGGAAGAAGAAAUGACGGUACCUGAGUAAGAAGCACCGGCUAAAUACGUGCCAGCAGCCGCGGUAAUACGUAGGGGGCAAGCGUUAUCCGGAUUUACUGGGUGUAAAGGGAGCGUAGACGGCGGUGCAAGCCAGAUGUGAAAGCCCGGGGCUCAACCCCGGGACUGCAUUUGGAACUGUGCUGCUAGAGUGUCGGAGAGGCAGGCGGAAUUCCUAGUGUAGCGGUGAAAUGCGUAGAUAUUAGGAGGAACACCAGUGGCGAAGGCGGCCUGCUGGACGAUGACUGACGUUGAGGCUCGAAAGCGUGGGGAGCAAACAGGAUUAGAUACCCUCGUAUAC